CCCAGCAGCACCUGCCAUGCACUGAGAUGCCAGGGAGCCUGAAUUCAAUUAUGCACCAGGUGUUAUGUAUGUGGCAUCCCACGGAUACAUUGAUCUCUCAGGGUGACAGAUCGGUUAUGAAUCAGGUAACAGACCAGCUUGUAACUGAAAUAUAUUGGAUUGUGCAGGCGGCCUGGCUGAGUAUCGGCUUGAGGGGAAUAGGGCAGAUUUACGAGCCUGGGAGGGUGGCUGGGGCAUCAGCCGUUCACCCUGCACAGUCACAGCUGCUAGCCUCACACCUGUGCCCAGGGAGCCGGGAAAUAGAGAGUUGAUCUGGGAGAGGAGGAGGGAACAGCACGGAGAAGGGUCCACAAGCGGGAGGGCCCAGGAAGGGGGCACAGAGCAGGGCAGGGAGGCUGUGGGCCCUCGAGAGACCCUGGGGGCAGCGUGGGAGGAUCACGGGUCUGGAGUCCAGGGCAGUGUGGCGCUCCUAGGACCUGAUCAUGGUUGUGUUCCCUUUCAUGAGUGCUUCGUGCCCCGGGAACUUGUCAGUGAUUGCCUGGGUCCCCUCUGAUGACACAGCCCAGGAGUCAGAUGCCAUCAUCAUCCCCUUGCAGCUAGGCAGGCCAAGCUCAGAGAUGGCAAGAAACCUCUCUGUGCCAUGCAGCCGAGGGGAGGCCAAGAUUGCAAAGCCAGGCAGGCUGACUUUGUGCCUUUUGCUUCCCCGUUCAGCUCUUCUGAACCAUGACAAGCAGGAGUGAGGCCCCAUGGAGGGAGCCCUGCCCUGCCACUCAGGGAGUGCACCCCAGGCCCCCGGCGCUCAGCCUGUUCGACCUCAGCCUCUACACACAGCAGACCAGGACAGGGGCCCUGCUCGGAGGUGGGAGCAGUGCUCUGAUCUGCCUGGCAGAGGGCGGAGACGGAGGCUGGAGGGCUCUCAGGAGCCCAGCCAGGGCCCGGCCUGUGAGAAGCUCAGAGAGAGGGCAGCGUGAGCGGAUGUGGUGGACAUCUGGGAGCACCCACAGUCCUGGAGCUUGGACCCGCCUGAGAUGAGACACCAGGGCUCAGGACUCACCCUCCAGUCACAGUCCGCCUUCAGUAUGUGACCUUGGUCAGAGCUCAGACUGUGACCAGAGCAGGGCUGAGUUUGGGGCCAGAAUCAUGGCUUAGACUUUGCCUAGGAUGAGGCUUGGAUUAUGACCUGGGUUAGGACUCAGUGUAUGGCUAUGAUCGGGGCUCCGUGUGCGGCCCAGAUCAGGGCUCGGGGUGCGGCCCUUAGAGGAAAGGAGAUGCCUAGGCCACUGGAGAACAGAGCUGUCAUCCCCUGGGUCCCUUCCCUCCAUGCUUUCACCAAGGACCCGAUCAAGACCAUCAACGGAUGCACAGAAGCUUCUGGAUCUGCUCAGGCCCCUCUGUGGUGAGAACCCCCCUCUCCCUGCUGUGGGUCUCUGUCACUGAGCGGCCCCGUGAGCAUCUCCAGUGAGCUCCUUCCAGGGGGAGGCUGGGGGGGUGGAGGGGGCCCAAUUUAUCUCUAUUUAUGCCUCUCCUUAUAGCUCCACCAGCUUCUCAGUAAUGUUUAUGGGGUUCAAUUAUUGUAUCUUCAAUUGAUAUGAGUGAUUUCAAUGGUUCUUGAUGUUCCGUGUUAAAUCUCCAGUGGAAAAUAUCUUCAAUGUUCAGCAGAAAACACCUAGUCAUUGCCGGCAAUGCAGCCACGGAGGCCUCGCCGGGAGAUGCGGGCCCGGUUCUGGGUGGCAGGUGAGGUGUCCUCACCCCUGGGCCCACAAAUCAGUGUGGGGUGACACCCCUCCUCCACCCUGGCAGCUAGAGCACCUCAUGGUGAGAACUUAGCUUUUAUCGGAAAAUAGAGCUGGGGCUUGAGGCUGGGAGCGAUCCGACAUACUGGUUUCCUGUUUCUGUUGUAAUAACUAACCACCAACCCGUGACUUCAACCAACAGAAAUUCGUUUCUCACAGCUCCAGAGUCAGAAAUCCAGAAGGAGAGUUAGGGGCUCCAUCUAGGCGUCGGCAGAGCGGGCUCCUCCCAGAGGCCCCAUGGGAGGCUCCCUCCUGGCCUCUGCAGGCUUCUGGAGACCUUCUGCUUUCCUCGAAGCCUCUGUCUUGCAGCCCUUCCCCUCCUCACACCUGUCUCCUGCC
ensembl:lincRNA